rnacentral:lncRNA from 1 species
GCCCUCCCGCCUGGCUCUCGCCUCGGCCUGCGGCCGGGAUCCUCCGCCCGGGUCGCGCAGCGGAGGCCGAGGGCUGGGACGGGCGGCUGGGAAGUGGGAAAGGGAGCUCCUUUUGUCUUCUCUUCCCAUCCCCCAGGUUUGGGAAAGUUUUCCUUUUGGGAAAGCCCCUCUCUUCAGCCUGCUGGCGGGUGUCGGAUUGGUUAGCGACCACCGGCCCCCGCCUCCCCCAACAGGAUUCUCCUUUGGGCCACAGGUCUUCCGGAAGUUGCCAAACCCCGGUAGCGGCAGCGUCCGGCUGGGGGCUUUAUUAGGGGGCACCGGGGUCUGCUUUCCGACUCCCUUCCGACUCCGCGCCUGCGCAGGAAGCGAUUUGGGGAGUGUUGUGAAUUCCGAGGGCUCCACACUUAAGAGGUUGUACACUCACCUGUCUACCUGGACUCCAAUUUCCAUAUUUCCAGCCACUUGAGGACUGAGAGGUGGAUGAUAAACCCUGUCAUAGUGGAGCAAGUUCAGGUGUUUAACCGCUGUUAUGGGGGAUCUGCCUUUUCUCCCUCUUCUUUCUUACUUCCAUAAGUAUGUAUGUGCAGAGAUUGAAAAAUAACCUUGAGAGAGUCCAUCCAUCUAACUCCAGUUCAUUGGAAAUUUCUGCUUCUUUGAGACUGAGGUUAUAUUCCACUUCUUCUGACUACACCACCACCAUCAAUCUCCUUCUCUGAACUCUUGGAUCAUUACUUCAACCUGAAACAACUCAUCAGGCAGAAUAGUUGCCUACUGCCCCAACCCCACCAAAUGUUCCAGCACCUCUGAUAUUACCUCACAUGGCAAGAGGGCUUUGAAGAUGUGAUUGAGUCAAGGAUCUUGAAUGGGGAGAUUAUCCUGAAUUAUUCAGCUGGACCCAGUGUAAUCACAAAGGUUUUUCAAAGAUGGAAGAGAGGCAGAAGAGCCAGAAAAGGAUAUGUGACAAUGGAGUCAGUGUCAGAGUUGGAGUGACGUGAUGUGAGAAGGAUUCAACCUGCUGUUUCUGGCUUUGAGGAUGAAAGAAGGGGCCAUGAGCCAAGCAAUACAGGUGGCUUCUUUCAAGAAGUUGGAAAAGUGGUAAUAUUUUAUGUUAUUUUGGUUUGAUUUUUGUUUGUGGCAUAUGGCUCUGCUGUCCUGUGACUCUAAGUAGAAGAGAAAAUAGUGCCAAUAAUUCUUCAUGGAGAUGCACCUCUCUCAAGUCUUGAACAAUGUUUGAGAUUUCCCCAGGCCACCAUCACUGGAUUUGGCUAUUUGACUUGCUGUAGUCAAUGGAAUGUGAGUGAAAAGUGACUCUGUACCAGUGGGGAGGCAAAGCCUUAAAAGACCCAGCAAAUUUCUUCCAGCCCUUUUGUGCUUCUGCCAAAAGAAUACUGUGAGCAAUCAGUGCCCUUAAGCCUGGGCCUCAGAACGAGAGAUAUGGAGCAAACCUGAACCUGAACAGCAGCCUACAAUCAAGCCAGGAUGACCCUGCAAAGCCCAGCCAACGAUAGCAAAGCCACAGCAGACUUGUAGACCAAU